rnacentral:rRNA from 1 species
GAUGAACGCUGGCGGCGUGCCUAACACAUGCAAGUCGAGCGAUUUACUUCGGUAAAGAGCGGCGGACGGGUGAGUAACGCGUGGGUAACCUGCCUCAUACACAUGGAUAACAUACCGAAAGGUAUGCUAAUACAAGAUGAUAUAAGAGAUUCGCAUGGAUUUCUUAUCAAAGUUUUUGCGGUAUGAGAUGACCCGCGUCUGAUUAGCUAGUUGGUAAGGUAACGGCUUACCAAGGCGACGAUCAGUAGCCGACCUGAGAGGGUGAUCGGCCACAUUGGAACUGAGACACGGUCCAAACUCCUACGGGAGGCAGCAGUGGGGAAUAUUGCACAAUGGGCGAAAGCCUGAUGCAGCAACGCCGCGUGAGCGAUGAAGGCCUUCGGGUCGUAAAGCUCUGUCCUCAAGGAAGAUAAUGACGGUACUUGAGGAGGAAGCCCCGGCUAACUACGUGCCAGCCGCCGCCGUAACAC